UACAGAGGUCUCAAGCGUUGUUCGGAUUCAUUGGGCGUAAAGGGUGCGUAGGCGGCGCGGUAAGUCGGGUGUGAAAUCUCGGAGCUUAACUCCGAAACUGCAUUCGAUACUGCCGUGCUUGAGGACUUGAGAGGAGACUGGAAUUUACGGUGUAGCGGUGAAAUGCGUAGAUAUCGUAAGGAAGACCAGUGGCGAAGGCGGGUCUCGUGGACAGUUCCAUGACGUUGAGGCACGAAGGCCAGGGGAGCAAACGGG
rnacentral:rRNA from 1 species